rnacentral:rRNA from 1 species
UACGUAGGGGGCAAGCGUUGUUCGGAUUCAUUGGGCGUAAAGGGUGUGUAGGUGGCGCCGUAAGUCGGGUGUGAAAUUUCGGAGCUUAACUCCGAAACUGCAUUCGAUACUGCGGUGCUUGAGGACUGGAGAGGAGACUGGAAUUCAUGGUGUAGCGUGAAAUGCGUAGAGAUCAGUGAGAAGACCGUGGCGAAGGCGGGUCUC